UACGUAGGGGGCUAGCGUUGUCCGGAAUCAUUGGGCGUAAAGCGCGCGUAGGCGGCCCGGUAAGUCCGCUGUAAAAGUCCAGGCUCAACCCUGGAACGCCGGUGGAUACUGUCGGGCUAGAGUCCGGGAAGAGGCGAGUGGAAUUCCUGGUGUAGCGGUGGAAUGCGCAGAUAUCAGGAGGAACACCGAUGGCGAAGGCAGCUCGUGGGACGUACUGGACGCUGAGGCGCGAAAGCGUGGGGAGCGAACAGG
rnacentral:rRNA from 1 species